rnacentral:rRNA from 1 species
GACGUAGGGGGCGAGCGUUAUUCGGAAUUAUUGGGCGUAAAGCGCUCGUAGGCGGGAUCGAUAGUCCGUGAAGAAAGACCUGGGCUCAACUCAGGGAACGGCACGGAUACUUCGAUUCUUGAGGCAAUCAGAGGGUGAUGGAAUUCCCGGUGUGGCGGUGAAAUGCGUAGAUAUCGGGAGGAACACCAGUGGCGAAGGCGAUCACCUGGGGUUGUUCUGACGCUGAGGAGCGAAAGCUAGGGGAGCAAACGGG